rnacentral:tRNA from 2 species
GGAGAGGUGUCCGAGUGGUUUAAGGAGGCGGUCUCGAAAACCGUUGUGCGGGAAUUCCCCGUACCGUGGGUUCGAAUCCCACCCUCUCCGCCA